GAGGAAUAUUGGGCAAUGCCCGAAAGGGUGACCCAGCAACGCCGCGUGGAGGAUGAAGGUCGUAAGAUUGUAAACUCCUGUUAGAGGGGAAGAAUAACUAAGUUUGGAGCUUAGUAUGACUGUACCCUCAGAGAAAGCCCCGGCUAACUACGUGCCAGCAGCCGCGGUAAUACGUAGGGGGCAAGCGUUGUCCGGAUUUACUGGGUGUAAAGGGCGCGCAGGCGGAAUGGAAAGUCAGUGGUGAAAUCCUACAGCUUAACUGUAGAACUGCCUUUGAUACUUUCAUUCUUGAGUUCGGGAGAGAGAGACGGAAUUCCAGGUGUAGUGGUGAAAUACGUAGAUAUCUGGAAGAACACCAGUUGCGAAGGCGGUCUCUUGGUCCGAUACUGACGCUGAGGCGCGAAAGCGUGGGGAGCAAACA
rnacentral:rRNA from 1 species